CCUACGGGAGGCAGCAGUAGGGAAUCUUCCACAAUGGGCGAAAGCCUGAUGGAGCAACGCCGCGUGGGUGAAGAAGGUCUUCGGAUCGUAAAACCCUGUUGUUAGAGAAGAAAGUGCGUGAGAGUAACUGUUCACGUUUAGACGGUAUCUAACCAGAAAGCCACGGCUAACUACGUGCCAGCAGCCGCGGUAAUACGUAGGUGGCAAGCGUUAUCCGGAUUUAUUGGGCGUAAAGGGAACGCAGGCGGUCUUUUAAGUCUGAUGUGAAAGCAGUCGGCUUAACCGGAGUAGUGCAUUGGAGACUGGGAGACUUGAGUGCAGAAGAGGAGAGUGGAACUCCAUGUGUAGCGGUGAAAUGCGUAGAUAUAUGGAAGAACACCGAUGGCGAAGGCGGCUCUCUGAUCUGUAACUGACGCUGAGGUUCGAAAGCGUGGGUAGCAAACAGGAUUAGAUACCCCAGUAGUC
rnacentral:rRNA from 1 species